CAAAUUAAGAAAAACCAUCUGAAGGAAGAAAUUUUCCUGUGUUCCUCUGUUAGCCUUGAGAUGUUGCAUCUUGCUGGACACUGCACUGAAGACAGUCCAGAAGAAUAUGAGAUGAGAACCUGACCCCUCCAUAAUUCAUAAAAUACAGUGUGAGAUAAAUGGCAGACCCAUUUGGGAAGAGGCACUGGAAGUUUUCACUCAUUGCUCACCUCUCUCUCUUGGCACUGGGCUGAUCCACGGAGGAAUACUUGCAGCUUUUCAUACUGCUUUGAACAGCUGCAGAAAGGAAAAGGAAGAAGUAAAAAUUUGACCUACUGAUAGCUACUCUGCUGCCCUGCUAAGAACCUGCUGCUCUGGCCUUGCUUGCUCACAAAGAUGUGCCACAAAAAUUACAAAAAAUUAAAGCAGAAUGUAAGAAGAGUGUGGCACAUUGACAGCAGGUGGUGUUUACUGGAGUGUCCAAGGCAGCACCUGGAGAACCUUGGCUUCAGGUUUUCCAGCUGGGAUAUGGAAAAAUCUUAUUUUGACAUAGAAAAUCAAAAUUGUUCCAGCAAAAUUUUCUUCCAGCCUCUGGAAUAAAUGAGCACCCAUGGCCCUCUCCAGCUCCUAACAGGGAAGAAAAUAUCAGAGAGGAUCAGAGCUAUAGCAUCAGACAAGGUUUUUUUCAUUAAUACUAUUUUCGUAAUGUCCAAAAUAAAAUGAAGCAUGUGGUUUGCUGAACAGGGUGGGCAAGCUGGCAUAAGGAGAAAUACUGUUAGGUUCUGACUUGCAAAGUGGUCUUUUUUUUUUGUCCCAGGAUCUAGUUAAUGUGUGAUAAAUCUUUGUACAGAACAGCUUGCAAAUUUGAGGUUUCAUGAGGUUUUUGUAGGAUGUGCGUACAUAAGUACACAUACAUCUAUAUUUAUCUAUUUAUAUAAAGGACAUUGUACUUUCAUUGUACUUUUUACUUUGUACUGUACAUUUAACUGGCUCCCCACAUUUCAUAUGAAUUUUCUGAAUUAUUUGUCCUA